GGCCCUAAGCCCAGAAAUCUUGUAACAGGACAAAAAUCCAAUUGCUACGGGGGUGUGGGAAGUAGGCUUAGCGGUGUGGAUUGAAGGAAACGUGUUUGGGUAAAAAGUGGGGAUGGGCCUUUCCAGACCUAGGCCCAUCAAUUCCAUUUCCAAAAGCGCACAAGAGGAUUUCAGUAUCCUGCAAACCCAAACAUCUAAUACUGCGAAUGAAAAUGGACUCCGCUGCCGCAUCCGAUUCCGACGGAACACCGGCAUUCCCACCUCUCGCCGCUUGGGAUUCGUGAAACAUCGAACAUAGCACCAGUCGUGAUGGUAUCAUCCUUAGAAAAUCCAACGAAAGAACUAACGAUUCCUUCAGCUUCGACUCUCAAUCGCACUACAACGGCAUGUCGGCUCCACGUGACCUUCAUCGUCGCACCUUGCUUCUGUCCCGCGUUUCUUCGUUCAUUUACGAUCGUCUUGGCGUGAGGAUGAAGAGUGCUCCGGUUCUAGUUCGGCGAUUCAGAAGUAAAAGUUCUUCACGAUCCAUGCUUCCUCUCGCGAGAUGCCUCGGUGUUCCAAUCAAUGGAUCGAACCGCAAUUUGCAGCUUCCGUUCAAACGCGUAUACACAAGGGCGUGCAGAAUCAAAGAAAAAGAAUGAGGAACUCACCGGAUUAGUCUGAUGAUCAACGGGUGAAUUUGGCUGCGUAAUGGACUUGCCUUUCGAUGUCGCGGCUGUUAUUUGCAUAUGCGUUAAGCUCGCCUACGACAAUUUUGUUCCGUCGUUUAGUUGUGUGUACGGCGCAUGUUUUUCUUUGGUUUUCGUUUAGCUGCAGUUUUCGUUUUGGUACUGUGAUAUUUUUUUUGUUAUUGCACUGUAAUGACCUUUCCCAGACUGUACUAGUGUAGACUGGUGUAAAUGUGUUUGUAUUGUCAACGUAUUUCACUUUGCCUAUAACAAAACAAAUUUCAUCCUA